rnacentral:rRNA from 1 species
AACCCUAGUAAUACAAGGCAGUACGGCUCAGUAACGCGUAGUCAACCUAACCUAUGGCACGGGGGAUAAUCUCGGGAAACUGAGCAUAAUACCCGAUAGCAACAUUAUGCCUGGAAUGGUUUAUGUUCCAAAUGAUUUAUCGCCGUAGGAUGGGACUGCGGCCUAUCAGUUUGUUGGUGAGGUAAUGGCCCACCAAGACUAUUACAGGUACGGGCUCUGAGAGGAGUAGCCCGGAGAUGGGUACUGAGACACGGACCCAGGCCCUAUGGGGCGCAGCAGGCGAGAAAACUUUGCAAUGUGCGAAAGCACGACAAGGUUAAUCCGAGUGGUUUCUGCUAAAGGAACCUUUUGACAGUCCUAGAAACACUGUUGAAUAAGGGGUGGGCAAGUUCUGGUGUCAGCCGCCGCGGUAAAACCAGNACCUCAAGUGGUCAGGAUGAUUAUUGGGCCUAAAGCAUCCGUAGCCGGCACUGUAAGUUUUCGGUUAAAUCUGUACGCUCAACGUACAGGCUGCCGGGAAUACUGCAGAGCUAGGGAGUGGGAGAGGUAGACGGUACUCGGUAGGAAGGGGUAAAAUCCUUUGAUCUAUUGAUGACCACCUGUGGCGAAGGCGGUCUACCAGAACACGUCCGACGGUGAGGGAUG